AGAGCGGCCCCAUGGACUGAAGUCCUUUAUUGGCAGAACAGGAACUGCAGGUUAACAGCAGUGCAUGCUCCCCCCAUUGCCCUUCCACUGUGCUGCACACCCCAUCCCAAGAAGAAAAUUCAGCCUUCACAACCCAGUUGAUCCAUGGCCUCU
rnacentral:sRNA from 1 species